CUGGGGUGGGCGCCAGCCCGGCUCCUUAGAUCUGCCUUGUAUGUGGGACAAAAUAGGACAGAAUGUGUGCACGUAUAUUAUGCUGCACGUUUGAUCAAAAUUCAGAAGGCUUAGACUACCACUGUCCUCCACAAGGUGUUCCAGCAGAUUGUCAACCUAUUCAACACAAGAGGUUGGUUGGAAUGAAACUGGCCUGGAGAAAUUAUUCACUGAAAUUUUAUCAGCAUUGGAAAGUCCUGGAGCCCUACUGGCUGCAUGAGUUAGGGGUGGAAGGGCUCUCUUGGGGCAUGACAACUCCAUAAUGCUGUGAAGAGCUACUUCCAAGGAAUCAGUCUCUAUCUGGAAAAGAAAGAAUAGAGCCUCUGUACCUGGGAAGUUGGAGCAAUGGGAAGUUGGAGCAAGAAAUCAUGAGAUCCUUCUGUUUUUCAUCAAACUUGCAAAGAUGGGGUCUCUGUCACCUAGGCUGGAGUGCUUUGGAGU